rnacentral:rRNA from 1 species
CCUACGGGAGGCUGCAGUGGGGAAUAUUGGACAAUGGGGGGAACCCUGAUCCAGCGACGCCGCGUGAGUGAAGAAGUAUUUCGGUAUGUAAAGCUCUAUCAGCAGGGAAGAAAGAAAUGACGGUACCUGACUAAGAAGCCCCGGCUAACUACGUGCCAGAAGCCGCGGUAAUACGUAGGGGGCAAGCGUGAUACGGAUUUACUGGUUGUAAAGGUAGAGGAGACGGCGAUGACAGUCUGAAGUUAAAGGCGGGGGCCCAACCCCUGGACUGCUUUGGAAACUGCAUGGCUGGAGUGCAGGAGAGGUAAGUAGAAUUCCUAGUGUAGCGGUGAAAUGCGGAGAUAUUAGGAGGAACACCAGUGGCGAAGGCGGCUUACUGGACUGUAACUGACGGUGAGGCUCGAAAGCGUGGGGAGCAAACAGGAUUAGAUACCCCUGUAGUC